rnacentral:rRNA from 1 species
UACGUAGGGGGCUAGCGUUGUCCGGAAUCAUUGGGCGUAAAGCGCGUGUAGGCGGUCCGGUAAGUCCGCUGUGAAAGUCGGGGCUCAACCCUCGGAUGCCGGUGGAUACUGUCGGGCUUGAGUACGGAAGAGGCGAGUGGAAUUCCUGGUGUAGCGGUGAAAUGCGCAGAUAUCAGGAGGAACACCAAUUGCGAAGGCAGCUCGCUGGGACGUUACUGACGCUGAGACGCGAAAGCGUGGGGAGCAAACAGG